UGAGGAAUAUUGGUCAAUGGGCGGAAGCCUGAACCAGCCAAGUAGCGUGCAGGAAGACGGCCCUAUGGGUUGUAAACUGCUUUUGUGCGGGAAUAAAGCGGGUCACGUGUGACCCUUUGCAUGUACCGUACGAAUAAGGACCGGCUAAUUCCGUGCCAGCAGCCGCGGUAAUACGGAAGGUCCGGGCGUUAUCCGGAUUUAUUGGGUUUAAAGGGAGCGUAGGCCGUCUCAAAAGCGUGUUGUGAAAUGUCCGGGCUCAACCGGGGCCGUGCAGCGCGAACUGUGAGACUUGAGUGUGCGGAAGGUAUGCGGAAUUCGUGGUGUAGCGGUGAAAUGCAUAGAUAUCACGAAGAACUCCGAUUGCGAAGGCAGCAUGCCGCAGCAUUACUGACGCUGAUGCUCGAAGGUGCGGGUAUCGAACA
rnacentral:rRNA from 1 species